rnacentral:lncRNA from 1 species
GCCCCCACCCCCCCCAGCACCAAACCCUUGCAAAAAAAGAAGGGAAAAGAAGGCCAAAAAAAAAAAAAAAAAAAAAAAGCCAAACACAACCCGAGCACCAGCAGCCCCAGACAGCGGCGCUGAUAACAAUCUGGUGCUGCUUGACAGCCCGCACAUGGCAAAGUCCAGCAAACAGCAGUCCCUGCACAAACAACUCGGGGUUUGCCUGGCAACAGCCUCCUCCGGCUCAGUUCUGCGCCGCUGCCAGUGAAGCCGCCGUGUCCGCAGCCUCGCCGGCACGGUGCCGCUGGCGCAGCCACAGCCCGCUCACCACGGCACGCUCGCAGCCGUGCCAGCCCCAAGAAGGAUGAGCAGGUCGCCCAGGAGGGGAGCCCGGCCCCAGGGCUGCUUCUGGAGCCGAGCAUCCCCGGGAGGAAGCAGUUCGCCAGAAGCGAACCCAGGUGAUCCUGGGCAGGCUGCAGCACCUCGAGUCCUUUCAUCCUGCGAGCCUCAUCCAAGAGCACUUGAGGUGUUAUGUUUUGCCCCAGUUUGAGCAUAUUAAUGCUAGGAAACAAAAUGCAACAAGGGUUUUUCCUGUGCUAAUUCGCACACGUGUACCUGGCUGCACAGAGGCUCGUUACGAUAUUCAUUGGAAAAAGGGUGGCAAAGGAGAGGCAGCAUUUCCUCGAGGGGAAACCCAGAGCAGAACCCAAACACCCUGUUUCCAGAAGCCCUGAUCAUGGGAAACAUGCAACGGCUCACUAAUUAUUCAGGGAGCGAGGGCGCCCUAGUUAACGAGAUGCUGACUGUACAAGUCUGUUGAUUUAGCUCCACGGCGCGCGGUAAGAAAGCUAAACAGGAAGGCAGCCGGAUUGCUCAAGAUAAGUCACCUUAGAGCAAACAGCGAGCUCGCCUGGGGUGAGCCGCUGCCCCGGGUCCCCCCGGGACCCCGUUGGCCUGGUGUCCAGCCGGGCCAAACCCCAAGGACGAAGGCAGGCACCGCGGGACCGUGCAGGGGGCUGCUGGGGCACCUGGUGAACCCGUUUCCGUUCCCUCUGCGCUUCGCUCCUGUCCAGAGACUGGUACCCCGAGCAUCUGGCCUUGAUGGGAUGCAG